UCAUUUCCAAAGGUAUCAAGACUAGCAAAGCUUAAUGGGUGAGGUAUGGUUAAGUGGUGAGGUUGCAGCAGCGGCUAAGCAUAUGUUUGGUGGCUAACUUACGAGUACAAGAAAUAAGAGGGGGGAAUCUACGCAUAGCGGACGUGAACUACAGAUGAUCAAAUGAAUGAUCCUGAACACCUACCUACGUCAGACAUAACCCCACCAUGUCCUCGAUCGGAGAAGGAACUCACGAAAGAGACAAUCACGGUUACGCACACAGUUGGCAUAUUUUAAUUAAGUUAACUUCAAGUUAUCUAGAACCAGUGUUAAACAAAGUUUCCACGUUGCCACAUAACCGCGGGCACGGCUUUCCAAAAGAUUUAACCUUGCAGGGGUGCUCCAACUAGUCCAUCACAAAUUACCACAAGCCGCAUAGAAAUCCUCAAUCACGAAGCUCGCGAUCUCGUCGGAUUCCCUAGUGGAAAACCUCAACUCUGAGAUUACCCAAAGCAUCACCGGAAUCCCGAUGCACAAGAUAUUUCGUCAAAGGUAAAACUAAUCCAGCAAGGCCGCCCGACGUGUCGACGAUCCCGAUAGGAGUCGCGUACCUCGUUCUCAGGACACGACGGAUGAGCGAUGGUUACCACGCCAAACGCCGAGUUGCCCCGGGUAGCGUUAAUAAGCCGCUUUGUUUUGGACCAACACUCAUGAGGAGCACUGGCCCGGGGGUUGAUUAAAAUAGUUCGCGGGUGUCGGCGGGUCCCUAUGCAUUAUUAUUAGGUUAUUAGGCAAAUGUAGUACCAAAGUUGGGCCUUGCCAGACCAGCUUUAAUCUAAAACGAAUUAUCAAGGGGGUCCCCAUAACAACCCCGAUCGUGUUAGGAGCGCUCGAUUAUGGAACAUAACACCGGUAGCCGGUAACUAAAGGGGGCAAAGGUGGAACAAAACACCAGGCUAGAAAGGCCGAGCCUUCCACCUUUUGCCAAGUAUAUAGGUCCAUUAAAUUAAAUAGCAUUAGUAUGGUGAUAUAACAAGGAACCCAUGUUAUCACAUGGAAGCAAUGCACGUGCAACUAGCAACGCUAACACAGGGUUAAGCAAGCAGUAACAUAGCCAAUCAGUGGUUUGCUAGGUUGAACAGGUUGAAGGUUAACAUGGCAUUGUUGAGAGGCUGAUAUUUAACAGGUGGUAGGCAACGAGACAUAAUCGACAGAAGCGAUAAAACUAGCAUGGCAAUGAUAGUAAUGGUAUCUGGGGAAAUGAUCAUCUUGCCUGAGAUCCCGCUUGGAAGAAGAAUGACUCCGAGAAGCAGACGAACCGACGCAGUCGAACGGGUCCUCACAUCCGACACGCUUGCGGAACUCUAUCGAGACGGAGCAAACCGGAAACACAAAUCAACACACGGAAUUCACCACACGAUGCACAACACAAAAGAUGCAUGAACAACUGAAUACAUGCAAGUCACGGCAUGACAAAUCACACAAUCAAACACUACACAUUAAGUGAAGUUCAAUAUGCACGAGUUGCAUAUUGACGAAACUCCACAUUAAUUAUUUUGUUCACUCCCGGUUAUCUACACGGCAAUAUUAAUGUUGUCAAACAUGCAAGAGGUGAAGCGGAAAUUAAACUACCUAUCUAGGCAUUUUAAGUGAGGUCGGAAAUGACAUAUAGCACCUCCGAAACGACCUCACAUGUUAAUUUACAAUUCUGUCCAGAUCUGUACUAAUGCAUUUAAUUAGUUGUUCAACAGAAAAACAAAUAGGUUUACGUGAUUCUACGCGUCCAGGCAAGCAAUCUACACAUAAAGAACAUCACCAACGGAGCUACGGAACAAAAGCUACAAGCACCGCAAGAUAUGAUGGCAUGAAUGCAAUAUGUGUGCAACGUCGGUCACGAGCACUUCAAAACAUUCAAACAGCAAGAGAAAAUGAAACUACACGAGAUUCUAAGCAAGUUACAUGUAGGACAUGAUCAAAUCGGAGCUACGAUUCAACAACUACGAGCAAAACAAGAAAUGACUACGAUCUGCCAAAAUCAGCCACAUAGCAUUUUCUACGCCCCACAACUACGAGCUACACAACUCCGAUAUGCUCAAGCAAGGCAUGGCAUGGAAGAGGGAAAGAAGCACUACUACGAACAACUAACAACAACUAGCAUGGCAGCAAGGAGCACUAGAGAAAGAAGACACAAAAUGGCAUCCCACUCACUAUUUCAGACUUAGUGAAAAUUACACCUCGUGAAAGUGCAGUUUUCGAUCUGAAGCAAUAUUGACAGCAUCAAAAUCCUAAGCUACAGGACUCCAAAUGGCAUGAAACUUUACGGAAUGCUAGAGAAACACAAGGGUUACAACUAACUCCAUUGGACCAACCUCAAAAGAGCUACAGAUCACUAGAUGCAAGCAAGACAAGACAACAACAAAAUAUAACAGAUCCCAGACUUAGAAAUAUUUCAGCACGUCCAAAACAGCACUAUUUCUAGCAACUUGAGAGCAAGCAAACAACACCUAAACAUGCAGUUCUAUUGCAACUAAAAAUACCAGGGACUAAACAAAACAUCCAAGAUCAACUCUCUAGUUGACAGCUAAUUCGAACGGGGCACGGAAUAAAUCCUACGAAUUAAUCAAAAGGGCAACAAAGCAAAAUAUCUCGCGAACCAACUUACUCAAAACUAAAACUAAUUGCACAGAAAAAUCCAUGGGAUUUUUCUACCCCGGAAACAUAUAAAAUAUGUGGGGUUUGCAACACAAAAUAAUGCCACACAUUAAUGCGAGAUAAUCACCUAUAUACGGGAAAAUAAAC
rnacentral:lncRNA from 1 species